rnacentral:rRNA from 1 species
UUCCUACGGGGGGCAGCAGUGAGGAAUAUUGGUCAAUGGUCGGGAGACUGAACCAGCCAAGCCGCGUGAGGGAUGAAGGUACAGAGUAUCGUAAACCUCUUUUGUCAGGGAACAAAGGCGGGGACGUGUCCCCGGAUGAGUGUACCUGAAGAAAAAGCAUCGGCUAACUCCGUGCCAGCAGCCGCGGUAAUACGGAGGAUGCGAGCGUUAUCCGGAUUUAUUGGGUUUAAAGGGGGCGCAGGCGGUCUUUUAAGUCUGAUGUGAAAGCCUUCGGCUUAACCGGGGUAGUGCAUUGGAAACUGGGG